GGGUGCUCCGCUCUUCAGAUGUUGACCUGACAAUCUACAUUCUCGGUCGCCUUGUGCAGAGGCCGAGGCAGCCCCGUCAGGGAUGUGCACAUGGGCUAAACUUGUACUGGACAGCGUCGCAGGGGACGAGAUUCCUUGCGUGUCGCCUGUAUCCCCCGGGACGGCGUCAAAUCCUUCGUCACGUUGUCGGUGAUUCCGCUGAUGAAACGCCUCGUAAGCAGCUUCCACAUUCGGACCUCCUUGUUCAGAACAUAUGAUUGCGACUGCUGACGGAUGCAGAGAUCCCCAGUAUCGACUUCCCCUCACUAGGUCACCAUUCUGUGCAGCGCGAGGACGGUGUGCGCCGAGUCUCCUCGGAACACAGGCGUCAUCACUGGUCCUGGGCUGCAGAUGUUUGUCCGUCGAGGACUGGGAGCACCUAGAGCUUUCUUUCUCGCUGUUGCUGGUUUCCCCUUCCUUCACUGGUUGUAAAACGGGCAAAUUUUGCAUGGACGGUGACUCCUCCCCGUUCAGCUGGUGUCCGGACGGCCGAUGUGCCGGGCCAUUAUGAAAGUGACAGCUUUUUGCUGAGAAAGGGGAACUAUCCGGCUGAAGAAGAGCAGGCGAAACGGAGCCUAAUACAGAUUCAUGGGCUUCAGAUGCUGGAGACGGCAACUUGGAUGGAACAAAACCAUCUGAAACCCUGAUGCCACCUCUCACCUGUCUAGGCCCUUCUAGUCUUUUCGCUGCACUGACGCUAUCGUGUGGAUGAGAGGCCUCCACGAGGAUGCAGUCUUUCAGAAUUGAGUCUGGGACUCGCGCAGCCGGUGACUGAAGAAAUUGAGCCUGCCGCCUUGUUGAAAGCUCUUCAGCAAAACCCGGCUUUUUCCUGCCACGACAGCAAUCAGGAACAUCUGUCGGCCUAUCUCCGGAUAUGCGGGUGCCUGCCGUUCCUCCGGCUGCUCGCGGGGAGGAAGUAAUACCUUGGAGGAUCUGGUUCGCGCUACAUUUCUGGGCGCUGCUGGUGGGAGAAUGAGUAACUUCGUCAACAUGUGCAGGAGGUAAAGAACGAGACAUAUGUUCAGGGAAAGCGUCGCGACAAGGCAACACCGAGAUACGGUAGGUACAUCCAUGGCGACGGGCAAGUGGCGGUGCGCUUCAGCGUACGCAGCAGCUGCGGCAUCGGGGUAGAACAGGCUCUUCGUCCAUGCUGCUGCCGCGCAUAGGAACAAAAACGACACUCGAAUCAACCGCAACGCCAGCUGCGCGAUAUUCGACCUGACGUAACCACAGGACAGCAGCCAGUUGGAGUACUCCAUGUGUGAGGCACCUGUCGAAACCACGCUGGCUCCUAUUCUCCCUUCAUAUGAAUGAAACCAGACGAGAGGACAACAAUAUCUUCGCCCAAGUUUUUUAAAAAGAAGGAAUGUAUUGGCUAUGAAGCAGUUUUGCCGUCACAGCACAGAAUCCACGGACCGGACGCGAGAGAAUAACCAAGAAUCCUACAGGGCAAGACAUCGUUUCCGUCCAUGUGUGGGCGUGGCUGUAUCAAAACUACGUUUGUUCGGUGAGUAUACAUACUUUCGAUUACAGUGACCCACACAUGUGGCAAGCCGGAAGCUAUGCCGGCUGCUCUUGUCAACAACUUGAUUGCACCAUCGACACCGCUUAUAAAAUGCGGCCAGUCUAACGUGCGGCAGCGACAUGUCUUCCUCUUUGUUAGUGUGGACACCGAAUCCGGCGGAUUUCAUCUGCCCUUUCUCGGAGUCGUGGUGCCGUUGUGUUCCGCGUUUCGGACAAUCCGAUGAAUCGAGGAUUUGCUGAUCAAAAGGUGAUUCCUGGCGGAAAUCAACUUCCAUAUCUUCACCGCGGUGGUCCUUCCAUCCAGCAGUCGCCUGCCAAGAAGGUGAGAGACUAAGCUGCUGAACAGUAGCUGUUGAAGGGGGCUGUUCUCGCGAGUCCAGGUCGUGCUUUUCUCUCACCUCCUCCUGUUUGGCGCGAGCGACUUCAGAAGUGACAGCGGAAAUACGCUCCAGAGGCGUCAGCCCGGAUGGUUCCCUGGUAUCGUUCACUUUACAUAUGCUUGCGUCUGUGACCAUGGAUCUUUUCUCCUGUCCACGUCUGGCGGGGUCAACAACUAUCUGCGAGGCCUCACCACCAGGCUUUUUCUUUUCCCCCUUUUGACUGUGAACAACUGGAGACUGCGUCGUUGAGUGACUUGUAGAGAGUGGUCGUUCAGCCGAGUGGGCAAAGUGGUUGCUCAGUGGCUCUGACUUUCUCCAAGGCUUCCAACCACGCUGUGCUGGCUUAUCAAAGACGAGCAGCGGGCAAAAUGCAACGGCC
rnacentral:lncRNA from 1 species